UACAGAGGAUGCAAGCGUUAUCCGGAAUGAUUGGGCGUAAAGCGUCUGUAGGUGGCUUUUUAAGUCCGCCGUUAAAUCCCAGGGCUCAACUCUGGACAGGCGGUGGAAACUACCAAGCUGGAGUACGGUAGGGGCAGAGGGAAUUUCCGGUGGAGCGGUGAAAUGCGUAGAGAUCGGAAAGAACACCAACGGCGAAAGCGGCUCACUGGACUGGUAUUGACGCUGAGGUGCGAAAGCGUGGGGAGCAAACAGG
rnacentral:rRNA from 1 species